GUGGGGAAUCUUAGACAAUGGGCGCAAGCCUGAUCUAGCCAUGCCGCGUGAGCGAUGAAGGCCUUAGGGUUGUAAAGCUCUUUCAGCUGGGAAGAUAAUGACGGUACCAGCAGAAGAAGCCCCGGCUAACUCCGUGCCAGCAGCCGCGGUAAUACGGAGGGGGCUAGCGUUGUUCGGAAUUACUGGGCGUAAAGCGCACGUAGGCGGAUCAGAAAGUCAGAGGUGAAAUCCCAGGGCUCAACCGUGGAACUGCCUUUGAAACACCUGAUCUUGAGGUCGAGAGAGGUGAGUGGAAUUUCGAGUGUAGAGGUGAAAUUCGUAGAUAUUCGGAGGAACACCAGUGGCGAAGGCGGCUCACUGGCUCGAUACUGACGCUGAGGUGCGAAAGCGUGGGGAGCAAACAGGAUUAGAUACCCGAGUAGUCC
rnacentral:rRNA from 1 species